rnacentral:rRNA from 1 species
GAUGAACGCUGGCGGCGUGCCUAACACAUGCAAGUCGAACGGUAGCAGGUCUAGUUUACUAGAUGCUGACGAGUGGCGGACGGCUGAGUAACGCGUGGGAACGUGCCCUAAAGUGAGGGAUAAACGCACCGAAAGGUGUGCUAAUACCGCAUAUGAUCUUCGGAUUAAAGAAUUUAUUCGCUUUAGGAGCGGCCCGCGUCGGAUUAGGUUGUUGGUGAGGUAAUGGCUCACCAAGCCGACGAUCCGUAGCUGGUCUGAGAGGAUGACCAGCCAGACUGGAACUGAGACACGGUCCAGACUCCUACGGGAGGCAGCAGUGAGGAAUCUUCCACAAUGGGCGAAAGCCUGAUGGAGCAACGCCGCGUGCAGGAUGAAGGCCUUCGGGUCGUAAACUGCUUUUAUUAGUGAAGAAUAUGACGGUAACUAAUGAAUAAGGAUCGGCUAACUACGUG